CUGGAUAACAGAUCGUAUUGGCGCAACUGCCAGACAACAAGCAAGAGGUCUGGUGUCGGAUUGGGGAGUUCAUUUUUCGGUGAGGAGCAGAUGUUGGUGCCUAACCAAGAGCUGUGCUGUAAGUCCUGAGCCCAAAGAGGAAUGACUGCGCUUUGAGAAGGCCCGCGUUCACCAAACAUCAGCAAAUGAAGAGAAAAACUCUUACUUAAAUGAGAACGGAAAAUCUAGAAACACUCUGCAGUACCAUCAAGGAUACCAAACCAAUCAGCACAUCUAUAUGAGACGCUAUCGCAGGAAAGCAGCACCAGGGACCCAACAUCCAGGACAUGCUCUCUUUUCACUGCUGCUAUCAGGAAGAAGGUACAGGAGCCACAGGACUUGUACCACCAUGUUCAGGAACCAUCAGGCUCUUGAACACCAGAGGAUAACUUCACUCAACUUCACUUGCCCCGUUAUUGAAAUGUUCGCACAGCCAAUGGACCCACUUUCAGGGACUCUUCAUCUCAUGUUCUCGAUAUUUAUUGAUUAUUAUUGUUACUUCUUUUUUCACUUGCACAGUUUGUUGUCUUCUGCACUCUGGUUGACUGCCCUAAUAGGUCAGUCUUUCAUUGAUUCUGUUAUAGUUACUGUUCUAUGUAUUUGCUGAGUAUCCCCACUGGAAAGUGAAUCUCAAGUUUGUAUAU